GUGGGGAAUAUUGGACAAUGGGCGAAAGCCUGAUCCAGCCAUGCCGCGUGUGUGAAGAAGGUCUUCGGAUUGUAAAGCACUUUAAGUUGGGAGGAAGGGCAGUAAGUUAAUACCUUGCUGUUUUGACGUUACCGACAGAAUAAGCACCGGCUAACUUCGUGCCAGCAGCCGCGGUAAUACGAAGGGUGCAAGCGUUAAUCGGAAUUACUGGGCGUAAAGCGCGCGUAGGUGGUUUUGUAAGUUGGAGGUGAAAUCCCCGGGCUCAACCUGGGAACUGCCUCCAAAACUGCAUGACUAGAGUACGGUAGAGGGUAGUGGAAUUUCCUGUGUAGCGGUGAAAUGCGUAGAUAUAGGAAGGAAAACCAGUGGCGAAGGCGACUACCUGGACUGAUACUGACACUGAGGUGCGAAAGCGUGGGGAGCAAACAGGAUUAGAAACCCCUGUAGUCC
rnacentral:rRNA from 1 species